UGAUGGACUAGCUGGAGCACCCCUGCAGGGUUAAAUAUUUAUGAAGCCGUGUCCGCGGUUAUGUGGCAACUUGGAAACUUUUUCAGCACCCGGCCAUAACAAACUUGAGAUAAACUUAAUUAAAAUAUGCCAACUGUGUGUAACCAUGACUGUCUCUUCUCGUGACUUCUUAUCCGAGAGAGGACAAGGUGGGGUUAUGUUUGACUCGUAGGUAGGUGUUCAGGAUUAUUUGUUGAUAAAUAUUAGUUCACGUCCAUUUAUGUGUAGAU
rnacentral:lncRNA from 1 species